rnacentral:rRNA from 1 species
GCAUCAUAGAGGGUGAGAAUCCCGUCUUUGACAUGGACUGCCAGGGCUUUUGUGAUGCGCUCUCAAAGAGUCGAGUUGUUUGGGAAUGCAGCUCAAAAAGGGUGGUAAAUUCCAUCUAAAGCUAAAUAUUGGCGAGAGACCGAUAGCGAACAAGUACCGUGAGGGAAAGAUGAAAAGAACUUUGGAAAGAGAGUUAAACAGUACGUGAAAUUGCUGAAAGGGAAACGCUUGAAGUCAGUCACGUCAUCCAGGGAUCAACCUUGCUUUUGCUUGGUGCACUUUCUGGUUUGAUGGGUCAGCAUCAAUUUUGACCAUUGGAAAAAGGCUAAGGGAAUGUGGCAUCUUUGGACGCGUUAUAGCCCUUGGUCACAUACAAUGGUUGGGAUUGAGGAACUCAGCACGCCGCAAGGCCGGGUUUUAAACCACGUUCGUGCUUAGGAUGCUGGCAAUAUGGCUUUAAUCGACCCGUCUUGAAACACGGACCAAGGAGUCUAACAUGCCUGCGAGUGUUUGGGUGGAAAACCCGAGCGCGUAAUGAAAGUGAAAAGUUGAGAUCCCUGUCGUGGGGAGCAUCGACGCCCGGACCAGACCUUCUGUGACGGUUCCGCGGUAGAGCAUGUAUGUUGGGACCCGAAAGAUGGUGAACUAUGCCUGAAUAGGGUGAAUCCAGAGGAAACUCUGGUGGAGGCUCGUAGCGAUUCUGACGUGCAAAUCGAUCGUCAAAUUUGGGUAUAGGGGCGAAAGACUAAUCGAACCAUCUAGUAGCUGGUUCCUGCCGA